UACGGAGGGUGCAAGCGUUAAUCGGAAUUACUGGGCGUAAAGCGCGCGUAGGCGGUCUUGUAAGUCGGAUGUGAAGCCCGGCUUAACCUGGAACUGCAUUCGAUACUGCUUGACUAGAGUAUGGUAGAGGGUAGCGGAAUUCCGGGUGUAGCGGUGAAAUGCGUAGAUAUCCGGAGGAACACCAGUGGCGAAGGCGGCUACCUGGACCAAUACUGACGCUGAGGUGCGAAAGCGUGGGGAGCAAAC
rnacentral:rRNA from 1 species